rnacentral:misc_RNA from 1 species
UUUCCGUAGGUGAACCUGCGGAAGGAUCAUGCAUAAUAAGUGUUUUAUGGCACUUUUUUAAAUCCAUAUCCACCUUGUGUGCAAUGUCAGGGUUGAUUUUUCUCUCGAGAGGAUCAACCCCAAACAUCAACUAUAUCUCAACUCUUUGUCUGAAAAAUAUUAUGAAUAAAACAAUUCAAAAUACAACUUUCAACAACGGAUCUCUUGGCUCUC